rnacentral:lncRNA from 1 species
GAGCAUAACAUAAGCUGUAGUAGUUGCCUUUGAGUACACAUCCUUGGAAAAACAAACCUAAUACUGGUGUGAAUGGGAUUUUAAAAUACAGAACAUGAGUUAAGGAGAUUCUGUUUGUUACUUUGAAAAUAACAUUUUGCUUCAUUUUUCAAACAUCUAUUGUGGUAAUUUUCAUUCUUCCAGCUGUUUAAAGUCACCAUACCAAUGUAGGUUAGUACUGUCUUAAACAUAAAAUGUUAAACAUUAAUGUUUCAGUGCAACACAACAAUAGACAUUCUUGUAACAUUAGUUUGAGAAUCCAUUUUAUUUUGUAUAAGGUACAUCCUCUGCACAGUGAACAAAUAUAUUACAAAUCUGUGGUUUAAAAAAGUAUUGCCAUUUCAUAGUCUCUCACACUAUUGUACAGUAACUGUGUUUUCUUUGUCUGAUUUGUAUACAUAUUAAUUUACUGGAGUGAAAAUUUCAUUUUGAAAAAUAAGUGAGCAGAUCUUUCCAAAUCGUCUAUAGAAUGCACAGCACACGUGUUGAGGCUGACCGCAAAUCUGUUUGUGAAUGUUAGAAGUUCCUAACAGUUGCUCUGCAUGAUCGAAAUGUCCUAGUGCUAACUCUUAGCUAUGUGAAGGCUGCUGCUGUCACCAUACUUAAUCACGUCUUUGCCGUUCCCCUUCUCCUCUGUAUGCCUGACUGAACUAUGUACUUGAAAUGUAGUGCUACACUUGGAGAGUUGUUAGCGCUCUGCUCCCACUCUCUGUCUCUCUUCUUUCAUGUGUGGGUAAUAAAGGCGCCCGGAGAGGGCAAGUGACUUAA